rnacentral:tRNA from 2 species
CUAUUUAUGAGAAUUAAUCUCUCUCACCA